GGCGAAGGAGAGCUCGCGACUCGCGGGAGGCGUCCUCCGCUCCACUACGCCCCGGUUGCCGCCACCUCCGCGUUACUAGGGGUGAGUAACUCACCGAAGUUCUCCCUAAGCAUUGGAGGGCCUGCAACCAACGUCGACGCCCUGUCCACAUGGCCACAACGCCGCAGCCAGACUGACCAAUCAAGCAUCCCCUGGGCCGUUGCCAUCGCAGGUCGAGCAGUCAUGCACCACCGCUGCCUCCGCGAGAAGAUCAGAAGUUGGAUCUGGCUGCAGGAGUGCAUGAGAAUUGCUAUGGUCCUUGGGUGGGUCAUCAUGGUGGCUCAAGAGUGCUAUGAGAUCACUAUGGAGUAUUAAGGGAGUCAUGAGCUUGAUGAACUUGGUAAUAUGUUGACAAGCUGAGAGAAUGACGGCUCCACUGUGAUGGCCAAAGCUUUCUCCCCUGUGCUUAAUUUGGCUAACUUGGCUGAGG
rnacentral:lncRNA from 1 species